UACAGAGGUGGCAAGCGUUGUUCGGAAUUACUGGGCGUAAAGGGCGCGUAGGCGGUUCGUCAAGUCCUGUGUGAAAUCCCCCAGCUCAACUGGGGAAGUGCUUACGAUACCGGGGGGCUCGAGGGAGGAAGGGGCGGCCGGAACUGUCGGUGGAGCGGUGAAAUGCGUUGAUAUCGACAGGAACGCCGGUGGCGAAAGCGGGCCGCUGGCCCUCUUCUGACGCUGAGGCGCGAAAGCCAGGGGAGCGAACGGG
rnacentral:rRNA from 1 species